rnacentral:tRNA from 1 species
AGGAUUUAAGUUAAUUAAAACUAGUAGCCUUCAAAGCUGCCAAUAGGGUUAAUU